UUGUUUUUAAGCAAAGCUACUACUAUGACUUGGUGAUGAACAUCAAACACUUUGCAUCUCAGGUGAACACUCAGGAAAAGGUUGGCAAGGAUGGAAUGAUGUCCAUGUGAAGAAUUACUAUAUAAUUGCUAUGAACAGAUACCAAUUUAUUCCUAAUGAAACAUUAGAGCUGUCCUUGAGAAUGAGAAACUACAGAAAAUGAGGAUGGAGAAAAAACAGAUAACAGCUGGUAAAAGAAGGAACGCAGAGAGGACACCCCUGACUACCUUCAUGCCAGAUGCCCAAAGUAAAGCUGACUUGAAAAAUGCCUGCCGUUAUCACCCCUGCUGCUCUGCUCAUAGCUACAAUUCACUGCUCCUCCUGUGCUGAUACAGCUGUUCAAGGACUGCUCUGUGUCUCACCACAGUGGUUAAGACCCUUGUUCUCACCUGGCACUGCUCUUUUAACCCCUUAUUUCAUGGACCUUUCUUAAAACACUGCCCUACCUUGUGCUGGGCUGACACAAAGGAGGGAUCCAAAACAAGGGGGAAAUGGUGUUGCAAGUGGCUUUUACCACUGAAGAAAACACACAGGAUUCACGGAAGGGAAGAAGAAAAUGCUACUGUUGCAUGGUGUCAAUAUCACCGUUUGGAUAUGUUACCAUGAGGUGCUUUUUAAUUUGAGGAACUCUUUGGAGCCUUCCCUUGAUUCAGAGAUGCUGCUGACUGACUUAGUAGUGCUAUGCAUCACCAUGCCAUUCUCAAAUACUAUCUGUAAGAGUUGUCCCAUUUUUUUGCUUACAACUGAGACUAAAAUAGUGUUUGUAUCAUUUUAGUUUUGUUUAAUGUGAUUACCCUCAUGGUCGUCAGCCCAAUUUAUUUUGACAAAGUUAUCAAAAAGAUCACCAGCCUUCCUCUUCAUAUUUUAAUUGCUUCAGAAUGUACUCAAGUAUUUGUUAGGACAAAUAAAACGGGAAGAUGACUAAAACAUACACAUUCCUUUUAGAUACAGCAUGUGAGUAGGGAGUAGCAGGAGGAAGAAGAGAUGUACAGAAAUGUGCAGCAGCACAAUGAGACAUGUGAAAGAAUCCAAUACCAAAGUUAACCUAAAUGGUAUGGUAAGACUAGAGGUAAAAGCACUGGAAAAUUAAUAUGAUUUUUGGCAAGAAAAAUGAAGGCAUCUCUUGCAUUUAUCUUUUCUGCAGUUGAACUGAAUUCUUGCAUUUAGUGGUGGAUACACUGAUUUUCUGCAGGAUGUAUUUUUCAUUUAAAGUAAAAAU